AUUGAACGCUGGCGGCAGGCUUAACACAUGCAAGUCGAGCGGGGGAAGGUAGCUUGCUACCGGACCCAGCGGCGGACGGGUGAGUAAUGCUUAGGAAUCUGCCUAUUAGUGGGGGACAACAUCUCGAAAGGGAUGCUAAUACCGCAUACGUCCUACGGGAGAAAGCAGGGGAUCUUCGGACCUUGCGCUAAUAGAUGAGCCUAAGUCGGAUUAGCUAGUUGGUGGGGUAAAGGCCUACCAAGGCGACGAUCUGUAGCGGGUCUGAGAGGAUGAUCCGCCACACUGGGACUGAGACACGGCCCAGACUGCUACGGGAGGCGGCAGUGGGGAAUAUUGGACAAUGGGGGGAACCCUGAUCCAGCCAUGCCGCGUGUGUGAAGAAGGCCUUAUGGUUGUAAAGCACUUUAAGCGAGGAGGAGGCUACUCUAGUUAAUACCUAGGGAUAGUGGACGUUACUCGCAGAAUAAGCACCGGCUAACUCUGUGCCAGCCGCCGCAGUAA
rnacentral:rRNA from 1 species